rnacentral:siRNA from 1 species
AGUCUAACAAGAACUGGCCGAUGG